rnacentral:rRNA from 1 species
UUGAACGCUGGCGGCAUGCUUUACACAUGCCAGUCGCACGGCAGCGCGGGCUUCGGCCUGGCGGCGAGUGGCGAACGGGUGAGUAAUACAUCGGAACGUGCCCAGUAGUGGGGGAUAGCUCGGCGAAAGCCGGAUUAAUACCGCAUACGACCUGAGGGUGAAAGCGGGGGAUCUUCGGACCUCGCGCUAUUGGAGCGGCCGAUGGCAGAUUAGCUAGUUGGUGGGGUAAAGGCCUACCAAGGCGACGAUCUGUAGCUGGUCUGAGAGGACGACCAGCCACACUGGGACUGAGACACGGCCCAGACUCCUACGGGAGGCAGCAGUGGGGAAUUUUGGACAAAGGGCGAAAGCCUGAUCCAGCAAUGCCGCGUGUGUGAUGAAGGCCUUCGGGUUGUAAAGCACUUUUGGCGGGAACGAAAAGGACUGUGCCAAUACCACGGUUCGAUGACGGUACCCGCAGAAUAAGCACCGGCUAACUACGUG